UAUGUGAUUAAGGCUUGAAGCAGAAGAUAAGAAUUCAAAGGAGUUGGUAACAGAGAAAGCUUUGAUGCUUGCAAGGAAAAGAGUUGAGUUGAGUUGUUGAGGAACCUAAUCAUGUAUAUGUAUAAAUAGAUGAAAGGGUAUGUGGAAAAUCAUCUGCUAGAUGAAAUGAUUGGUGAAGAGAAACUGAGAAGGGACUCAUGGGCUCCAGUUUGAGACACUAGCUUGUGAGAAAUCACAUGGCUUUGUCUUCCUACUCGAGUACUUUAUCACACAUGAGAUUUCACAUGCAAAUGUGUGAUGAUCAAAGAUGGUAGCAGACAUGGGGGAGACGAACUCUGAUCUUGCCCAACUCUGAUAAUUGAUGUUGCUUACAGACAAGAAUUUGUGGUGCUAAUUACACAAUUUUACUUGCGGCCAGAUAUAAAGGGAUGGUAUAUCUUGAUUGAGAGCACCUAGCCAGCCUAGCAUUCGGUUUUUUGUUUCAUCUAUAGUCUAUGAUCCCUAGUUUCAACUGGCUGAGGGAGUAUUUUGUUUCGUUUGAUCAACCUAGGAAAUUCCUCUGGUGGUUAUGCAUGACAAGAAAGCCAUACGUACAGUUACAGAACUCACCUAAAGGGCUCAACCAGCACUUGGGUUCAGCUUACCCACACGACUGACACGAGUAGCUCAGAAUCAGCUUGGAAUACAGCAGAUUUCAUUUCCCCUCGGUGCAAGAGGCGAAUUGAUUCAGUACAUGAUGAGAUAGCCUCUUCAAUCUUGACUGAUCAGCUGCGAGUUUCCAAAUGAGGAUGUUUUGGAUCCAACUUCAGU